GGGCAAGUCUCUUACGACCAGCUCCUGCUGAACUCCCCCAGGUGCGGAAGCAAGCAAGGGUAGGCGGUUGUAGCGGUGCGAUAAGGGUCGCUUGCCCCUU
rnacentral:SRP_RNA from 1 species